rnacentral:rRNA from 1 species
GACGUACGCUGGCGGCGUGCUUAACACAUGCAAGUCGAACGAUGAACCCGGAGCUUGCUCCGGUGGAUUAGUGGCGAACGGGUGAGUAACACGUGAGUAACCUGCCCUUGACUCUGGGAUAACUGCGGGAAACUGUAGCUAAUACCGGAUACGACCCUCGGCGGCAUCGCCAGGGGGUGGAAAGAAUUUCGGUCAAGGAUGGACUCGCGGCCUAUCAGCUAGUUGGUGAGGUACCGGCUCACCAAGGCGACGACGGGUAGCCGGCCUGAGAGGGUGACCGGCCACACUGGGACUGAGACACGGCCCAGACUCCUACGGGAGGCAGCAGUGGGGAAUAUUGCACAAUGGGCGCAAGCCUGAUGCAGCAACGCCGCGUGAGGGAUGACGGCCUUCGGGUUGUAAACCUCUUUUAGCAGGGAAGGAGCGAAAGUGACGGUACCUGCAGAAAAAGCACCGGCUAACUACGUGCCAGCCGCCGCGGUAA